GAGCUUCCAUCGGUAGAUAUGUUCGUAACCACGGCGGAUCCGGUUCGCGAGCCACCGAUUCUUGUCGUGAACACCGUGCUUUCGCUGUUAGCUGUGAAUUAUCCGGCGAAUAAACUAGCAUGUUAUGUUUCAGACGAUGGAUGCUCAGCUCUCACUUACUUCUCUCUCAAGGAAGCUUCUAAGUUCGCCAAGAUUUGGGUUCCUUUCUGCAAGAAAUACAACGUUAGAGUUAGAGCUCCUUUUAGAUAUUUUUUGAACCCUGUAGACGCAAAAGAGGAUUCAGAAUUCAGUAGGGAUUGGGAAAUGACAAAGGUAACUAAAGAGCCAUGCUAUGUUUUUAUGUGUACUUUAACUUCUCAUGUUUUACCUUUCUUGAAAUUAUAUCUUUGUUGUUGUAACAAUAUAUAGAGGGAGUACGAGAAGUUAGUGCAGAAAGUGGAAGACGCCACCGGAAAUUCUUAUUGGUUGGAUGCUGGCGAUGAUUUUGAAGCUUUGUCAAACAAAAAACCAAGUGACCAUUCAACUAUAGUGAAGGUAUUUCUACAAGCUAUUUAAGUUUACAAAAGAUCUAAUAUAAUAUAUACUAAUAUUUACUUACAUAGCAAAAGGUUAAAGUCAACUUGGACUAGGCGAUGUAUCUUUGUAGAGUGUUCUUUUUUUCUGGGUUGGACUAAUCAAUCUAGGAUGUUCGUUCUAAUAUAAUGUAUAGUUGACAAAAAGAUUAAUUAUAAGAUUAGAUGUAGCUGAAAUUGUGGUUGUGUGUUUGAAAGGUGAUAUGGGAGAACGAGGAAGGUGUGGGAGACGAGAAAGAGGUCCCUCAUUUUGUUUACAUUUCAAGAGAGAAAAAACCGAAUUACCUUCAUCAUUACAAAGCUGGAGCCAUGAACUUUUUGGUUGGUUAAUUUUCUCACACAUCUCUAUUUUUUAAGACAGAAGUUUUCAUAGUACAUAAGCUGUGUUAAUUAUUCCGGUGAGUCCAUACAAUCAAUAUUGGUUAGAAUUAGAUAUUGACUAUCAUAAAUCAUACAUCUAUUUGGCUGAAAUGGUAUACAUUCGAAGGAAGGUAACAUAGUAAUGGAGAAAAUGGCACCUGCUUCCCUGAUUAAUAUCACUUGAUUGAUGGGCCCAACUAUUUAAUUUAUAAUACAAUGUUUCAUGUGAUAUGACCAUUAAUUGUACAUUUUGUUGCAUGUGACAUUCAGUUUAACUGUUGAAAUGAAAAGGUGAGUAACAAACCAUGCAUUAUGGGUAGAUAUAUCUGUGAUAAGCAUGCAUCUUAAACUAAACAAUCCUGGUGACAUUGCCUUUGAAUAUAAUGCGAUACAUAUCUUAUACAUAGUCUUUGAGUAAUCCUGAACAUUUUUUUUCUUGAAGUAAUCCAUGGCUUUUAAGACGCAUCAUAUAUUGUAAGCGCCAUGCAUGAACAACUAUCAUAUACUGUAGAUCUUUCUUUUCUUGGUUAUAAUAAUUAAAAUAUCUGAUGAUGGAGCGAAUAAUAAAUUAUUUUGAACAGGUAAGAGUGUCAGGGUUGAUGACAAAUGCACCGUACAUGCUGAACGUAGACUGCGACAUGUACGCGAAUGAAGCAGACGUAGUGCGGCAAGCAAUGUGUAUAUUUAUGGAAGGAUCUAUGAAUCCAAACCAUUGUGCUUUUGUUCAGUUCCCUCAAAAAUUCUAUGAUUCUAACAGCGAUGAAAUCGUCGUCUUACAAUCAGUAAGAUUUCUCUUCCUUUACUUAUUGAUACUUUGGAUCAAUUCGAUGUGAAUUUUAACUGGAAAGUAGUAUGUGGGACGAGGUUUUGCGGGAAUCCAAGGACCAGUUUAUGCAGGGUCUGGAUGUUUCCACACUAGAAGGGUCAUGUACGGUCUUUCUGUAGACGAUUUAGAAGAAGAUAGAAAUCUUUCUUCAGUUGCUACAAGUAAGUAUAUAAAUUUAUAAACCACGUUCUCAUAGAUUUUAAAACGUCAGUAAGAGUUUUUUUAAAGAAAAAAUCAUUCACAAUAAAACUAAACUUUCAUGAUUAUCUGAAAAUUUUCCGAUUUUUUUUCUAAACAGUUUUAUCCCUGUUCUAUCGUUCUUUUGACAGACAAUGCAUAUUAUGUUCGUUAUUCGGUUAUUCCACCAUUCUAUCAUUCAUUCACGGCUCAUGCUAUGUUUUUAUUUCACUAAUUAAGGGAAGCUUUUGGCUGCGGAGAGAUUAGAAAGAGAUUUUGGGAAGUCUAAAGAGAUGGUGAAAUCGGUGGUCGAUGCAUUACAAAGAAAAUCAAAUCCCCAAGACACCCUUAUAAACUCUUCAGAACCGGCUCAAGCUGUGGGGCAUUGUCAUUACGAAUACCAAACUAGCUGGGGCAAAACCGUAAAUCCCUCUUUUUGUCUAUAAAAUAAAUUAGUCUAUAAAAUCAAGCAAUAUACAUUUUGCGUUCUUAAAUCUCUUUUUUGCAAUAUUUACAUUUUCAUAAUUAUUAUUUUGUUACAUAAUCGUCCAGGUCGGUUGGUUAUACGAUUCAACGACGGAAGAUGCACACACGAGUAUUGGGAUUCAUUCAAGAGGGUGGACUAGUUCAUAUAUAUCUCCGGAACCACCGGCGUUUCUUGGAUGCAUGCCCCCGGGAGGACCCGAGGCAAUGCUUCAACAGCGGCGAUGGGCGACGGGUUUGCUUGAAAUCCUUUUUACCAAACAAAAUCCAUUGAACGGAAGUUCUUGCAAGAAAAUCAGAUUCCGACAAAGCUUGGCUUAUCUUUAUAUUUUCACGUGGGGUCUGAGGUCAAUUCCUGAGCUCUUUUAUUGUCUCUUGCCUGCUUAUUGUGUACUCCACGGUUCUGCCUUAUUUCCCAAGGUAAAUUUUAUCUCUAUAUGUAUGUGGUGCUUUUAAUGAAACUAAUACUAAAUGGUCUUAUAUAUUUUUUUUGUGGCUGUAGGGAGUUUGUUUAGGUAUAGUCUUCACACUUGUGGGAAUGCACUGCCUCUACACUUUAUGGGAAUUUAUGAGCCUUGGGUUUUCCGUACAUUCAUGGUAUGCCUCCCAAUCGUUUUGGAGAAUUAAAACCACUGGUAGUUGGUUAUUUAGCAUCCCUGAUAUCAUACUUAAGCUUCUUGGAGUUUCCAAUACCAUCUUCAUAGUCACUAAAAAGACCAUUUCUAAGACAAGGUUAGAGUCCGGGGAUAGACCAUCUCAAAAAGAAGAUGAUGGUUCAAACCCAGAUUCCAAUAAAUUUGAAUUCGAUGGUUCACUUUACUUUUUGCCGGGCACAUUCAUUCUGUUGGUGAAUUUAACCGCUAUAGCCGGUUUUUCAAUGGGUCUACAACGGUCGAGUCGUAGCUAUGGAGGAAAUGGUUCGAGCAUGAUAGAUGCUUGUGGAUGUAUUUUGGUGGUUAUAUUGUUCCUUCCAUUUCUAAUUGGUUUGUUUGAGAAGGGAAAAUAUGGCAUCCCACUGUCUACUCUUUCUAAAGCUGCCUUUUUAGCAGUUUUAUUUGUUGUUUUUUCUGUAAGAAACUAAUAUAUAUAUUUGGGGUUGCUAGGAAAAGUGUGCUAAGUUUAUCAUGACAAUAAAUCCUAUUUAUGCAAUUAAUCGUUAGUUUCUUAUUACUUGUGUAUAGUAGAAACUCAACAAACUAAUAUUCGAUAAAUGAAUAACCCGAUAAAUUAAUAAAUUCUGGUACCGAGAGUUGGGCCGAUUUAAAAUAUAACACAAACCAAUAAAAUAAUAAUAAUUUUUUUUUAAAAAACUAUGUAAAUAUUUAAUCUCACAUAAAUCAUAAAUUAUUAUAUAAUAAAAACAAAACAUUAUAUUUUUUAUUAACGAUAAAAUUAUCUCUAUAUUUAUUAAUACUUCAAUAUACUUUGAUAAUAUUAAGUAAACUAAAACAUACCUAUUAAAUUCUAUGAAAGAUAUACUCCAUUCGUUUCUAAAUAAAUGUCACUUUGACACUUUUCACACAGACCAAGAAAGUAGCAUAAAUAUAUGUAAAUUGUUAUUAGUUACAUAUUUCUAAUCAAUAGUAUUUGAGAUAAAUAAAAUUAUUUAUAAAACCAAUGCAGUUUGCAAUUAAUUUUCAGCUGAAAAUAGGGGAAAUUACAUGUUUACCACUUUCAUGGUACCACUUUUCAUUUUUACCACCACUAAUGAGACAUUUUCAAAAAUACAUUCUCCAUUAAGUGUCAAAAGACUCAUAUGCCCUUGUUAUUUAUAUAUAUAAUAAAAAAAUUAAAAAAAAAAAUUAAAAAAAAAUUUUAAAAAAAAAAUUAAACAAAAUUUUUAAAAAUUUAAAAUUUUUUUUAAAAAUAUAAAAAUUAAAAAAUGUAUUUUUUAUGUUUUUGAAUUAUACUUUUUCAAAUUCAAACUUUUUUAUAAAUUUUUUUUUGAAUUUUUUUUAUUUUUUUCAAAUUUCUUUUUGAAAAACGAAAAUUAUGUUUGAAACUAUUUUUAAAAAAAAAUUAUAUAUUUUUUAAGUAUUUAUAUUUAUUAGAAUCAUAAAUUUCACAUUCUAAAAACCCUACUCCACCCCUCAACUCUAAACCCUAAGUCUAGAUUAGUUAACCCUAGGGGUAUAAUUGUAUUUUACCUUUCAUUAAAAGUGAGGAUAAAAUUGAUUAGUGUAAACAUGAAAAGUGGUACUAUGAAUGUGGUAUUUGUGGCAAUUUCCCCUGAAAAUAAGUAUAAUUUACAUUGAAAUUGUAAAAUGACACUUUUUGUGUAACAAAAAAAAAGCUAAAAUGACACUUAUAUGAAACAAAAAGAAGUAUUAUAUAACCUAAUAAUAUAAUAAACAAAUAUAAAGUCAUGUUUUAAAAAUCUAUCAAAUAUAUCACCAGUAAAAUCAACUAUUUGUCUUAUUUUAUAAUAAAUAAUCUCUUGUUUAUUAUUAGCUGGAGUCUAAGAGCAAAAUGAUCUCCCAAUCUAACUACAUUAAAAGUUCUACAAAUUAAUAUUGUUAAAUUAAUAAAUACAAUAAAUUAAUGAUUUUUGAUCCCGAAUUGAGUCGAUUCAAAAUUUAAUAUAAUUUGAUAAGAUAACAAGAUAAUACAUUCUAAUUUUUAUAGAAAUAAAUAAUCCCAUUAAUAUCAUGAAUUAAUUAUUUUAUUUAAAAUAUAUAAAAGAAAUUACCUUAUUCUAUUAUCUUCAAAGUGAAAUUCAUCCCUAAUGUUUUGGUAUUACUUCAUUACAUUUGAUGUAAUUUGUAUUUAAAAUACAUCUUCAUACUAGAAUGAAUAUUUUAAUACAUAAAAAUAAAGAAUUUAAUAAUGAAGAAAGAUAAAAACCAAACUUAUAAAGCUUAUAACCAAUAUAUAAAAAAUUUUAAACAUACAUUUGUGUUAUUUUAAAUCAAAAUAAUUAAAACUAUAUAUCAAAGCAAUUUGUACCUAAUAACUUACAAAUUAAUAAAAUACCACUGGUACAACAGUAUCCCUUAUAUAUUAAUUGAGGAACAUUUGAAAAGAUGUAACCUCAAUUUUGUAUUAAUUAAAAAAGGCCCCAAUGCAUAGGUGGCACUCAAUUAGAUAGUCAAUUACAUUCAAUUGAAAAAUAAGUAGGUCCACAUUCGAUUUUUAUAUGUUGUUAGAUAUAUAAGUUGGUCAAACUAUAUGAUAUAAUGAUAUGAUAUGAUAUUUUAUUUCCUUAAAUAAAACCUACGGAAUUACCAUAAAUGACUAAUAUAUAUAUGACAAUUAAUGAGUUUAAUAAUAAAGAUUUGAUAACAAUGUAUAUCUCCUCCAUCAUUUUUUGCUUAAUUUUAUAUUAUUAAAAUAAAUUAAACAAUCAAAUUAGCUAUAAAAAUAAAAUUUAGAUUUUUUCGUAUAUGUUAUAUUUUGAAUUUUUAAAAACGACAAUAAAUGACUAAAACUAUUAAAAUUAUUAUGUUAAAAAUUAAUAAUCAAUGGUUUAACAUUUUUAUUAUAAGAAGAUACACAUGAUUUUAAAACCAUAUGAGUAAAAAAUAUCAUUUAAUAAUAAAAUAAAUAUAUAUAUAUAUAUAUAUUAAACACUAUUACCAUAAGAUUACAUAAAUAUUUUAAUAUUAAAACUUUCAAUGAAUUUUCAAGAACAUUUAUAAAUUAUAAACUUAUUAAAGAUUUCAGAUUGAAAAUUUUGUUAUCGAUGAUUUAAAUAUUUUGUUAUAAAACGAUAUGAACGAUCAUAGAACCGUAUGAUUAUAAAUUCUUAUUUAAUAAAUGACUAUACAAAAUAUACUAUUCCUAGAAAAAUAGGUUGGUCUAUCUUAACUUAUAUUACACUUUUUAAUAAACUAACUAUCGAAUUGAUAAAUAACGUACUAAAAAAUGUUUUGCACUUUCCUUAAAUAAAAGCUACGAAAUUACCUAAUAUGAUUAACGUAUAUGUGAAAAUUAAUUAUAAUGAAUAAUAAAUAUUUGAUAACAAUUUUUGUAUCUUAGUUCUUUUUUUAAUUUUAUAUUAUUAAAAUAUAUUUAAAAAUCACAUUAAAUAUAUAAUAAAAACAUUUAUAAUUUUUCUUAUAUGUUAUAUUUUGAAUUUUUCAAAACGUCUAUAAAUUAUUAGAAAUUUGAAGAUCCACACUCUGAAAAUUUUGUGAUCAAUAGAUUUUUUUUUGUCAUAAUAAGUUACAAAUGAUCAUAAAAUUGUAUUAAUAUGAACUUUUAUUUAAUAUUAUAAGAAGAUACACAUUAUUUUAAAACCAUAUGAGUAAAAAAUAUCAUUUAAUAAUAAAACAUAUAUAUUUUUAUAUAUAUAUAUAGAUUAUACUAUAUACCAUAAGAUUACAUAAAUAUUUUAAUAUAAAACUUUCAAUGAAUUUUCAAAAACAUUUAUAAAUUAUAAACUUAUUAAAGAUUUCACAUUGAAAAUUUUGUUAUCGAUGAUUUAAAUAUUCAGUUAUAAAAUGAUAUGAAUGAUCAUAGAACUGUAUGAUUAUAAAUUCUCAUUUAAUAAAUGACUAUAUAAAAUAUACUAUUCUUAGAAAAAUAGGUUAGUCCAUCUUGACUUACAUUAUAUUUUUUAUUAAACUAACUAUCGAAUUGAUAAAUAAUCUACCAAAAUUUUUUUUGCACUUUCCUUAAUUAGAAUCUACGAAAUUACCUAAUAUGAUUAACGUAUAUAUGAAAAUUAAUUAUUAUGAAUAAUAAAUAUUUGAUAACAAUUUUGGUAUCUUAGUUCUUUUUUUUAAUUUUAUAUUAUUGAAAGAUAUUAAAAAAUCACAUUAAAUAUAUACUAAACAUUUAUAUUUUUUCUUAUAUGUUAUAUUUGAAUUUUUCAAAACGUCUAUAUAUUAUUAGAAAUUUGAAUAUUCCCACUCUGAAAAUUUUGUGAUCAAUAGAUUAUUUUUUGUUAUAAUAAGUUACAAAUGAUCAUAAAAUAUAACGCAUAUGAAUUUUUAUUUAAUAAAUAUUCAAACUAAAUAUAUAUAUAUAUAUAUAUAUAUAUAUAUAUAUAUAAACACUAAUGAUUUAAAGCAACAAGAUUGGCUGAUCAAUUUAGUUGUCCAGUUGAAAUCUUUCAAAAGUAUGUGAAGGAAUAAAGUCAAAGUAAAUAUGGAUUUAGUAUAAUAGUUAUAUUUUACUAACCAAAUACCGAAAAAACCGAACCGAACCGAAACCAACCCGAUAUCCGGAUUGAACACCCGUAAUCCAAAUGAAGCCAAACUAUUGUUUCAUUCUCCAAAAUAUAAUAAAAAUAAUAACUUAAUUCCGCGCAAGGCGCGGAUCUUAUCCUAGUUAAAUUAUAUAAACUAAACAAACACAAAGGUACCACAAUCCUAAUAUUAAUAAUUUAUAGUAUUUUUACAGUAAUGUGAAACCAUUUAAAGCGCUGAACUAAAAGUUGAAGAAAUUAUUAUGAUAAACAUCAUGAUACAUAGAAUUUAAAAUAUACUCCCUCCUUUUCGUUUAAAUUAUCGUUUUAAAUCUGUACAACACACCUUCAGAAAAUAUUUAAUUUUUUAUAUUUUUAUAAUAAAACAUCAUUACAUAUAUAUCUAAUCAUAUUUCAAUCAAUAUAAAAAUAUACUAGAGAAUAAAAAAUAUUAUAUAGCUUUCAAAUUCACUAAAACUAAAAUGUUAAAACAUUGCUUAUUAAAUGUUAAAACAUAUUAAUUUUGUAAAUUAGAUUUUGUUAAAAAUAUUUUUAACGUUUUUAAAACGUAGGUUAAAAUCUAUUUUAAUUACAUUACGGUCAGCAUAUUGUGCGGAUUAAAAUAUAUUCAAAAAAAUUAAGAUAAUAUCAAAGUAUAUAAAAAAAAAAUAUCAGCAUAUUAUACGGAUUAAACUCUUGUAUACUUUAUGUAGUUAGCAAAUUGCAGAAAUUUAAAUUGCACAAAUUUAAAUAGCAUAAAUAAAAUCGGGAGGCUCUGCCUACCACAUGAUCCGAGGAGUCAUUGACUACCAUAUUGAUCAUUUUUAAAAUCCGAGGAGACAUGGUCUACCAUUUUGACUUUUACUUAUUUCAAGGUCCGAGGAGACUUAGUGUACCAUUUUUGACCUUUUUUUUUUAUUUACGGAGGCAAAGCCUUUCACGUAACCCUUUUUUUCAGUUCACGGAGGCAAAGCCUACCACGUGUUUCUCUGAUCAUGAAGGCAUAGCCUACCAUAACGAUUAAUCGGAAAAGGCAACACCUAUCAUCUCGAAAAAUAAACAGAGAAGGUCUAGCCUCUCACUCCGGAACAAUAAUAAAAUUUAAAUAAAUUAAGUAUAUUAAAAUACAUAAAUUUAAACAUUACCUCGGCUGGUUUAAAAACUUUUAGAUUGAUAAACCUCAGUUAGUGAGAGCUUCGUACUGAUAACGUGUUGUGAACUAUUAGCUCAGAUGUAUAUCUUUAUAUAUCUGUAUGUAUGUAUUAUAUGUUUUGUAUUUUGUGACCGAAGAAAAGGAAUAAACGUGAGGGAAAGAGAGAGAGCUGAGAAGAAGAACAAGUGAUGAAGUUAAAUUAUAUUAUUGACUUACCAUCUCUUACUUUCGAUAUCUCUUUAAAUAGGAGAGUAAGGUCGGUUAACAUAUCAGAUAUUUUUCUGAAAUUAUGGGCAAAGAGAUACAUGUCUGAUGAGAAGGAUAAUAUUUUACAUGUGUUUGAAAUAUGAAUAAUCAUUAUCCUCUAACAUACGUGAUGUUUUUCUCUUUUUUUUUGCGACGACCACUCAUCCAUGACUUUAGACUUAUCACUACACACAAGAGAAAACGGAGUAAAAAGACAAAACUCUAUCGUUAUCCUAAAUCGAAUCAGACCACAAAAGAACUUCCUCAAAUACCCAAAGAUAUGUACACAUCACUGAGAAUAUAACUGUAAUACGUUUUUUUUUAUUUAAAGUAUACGGUUUAAUAACCAUUUUAUUUAAUCAUUGUAUCUAAAGGACACAGUAUAGUCCAUUUUUGUUUACUUGUGGCUAAAAUUUCUCGUCACUCGUUUUUUGUCAACAAAAAAUCUACUCAAUAUCUUCUCACCGGUCCUUUUUAUUAUAAUACAUAUAUACCCCGUUUCAGAACACUAUACACAUUAUGACUACAAGCUUUAGUAGACGUAAAACUAUUUAGAAAGCUCACAAGAAAGCUCCUCCCAUGGCGGAUUCUAGCUCUUCGCUCCCUUCUCUUUUCGAAAAGAUCUCAUACAAAAGAUGUUUUCUGAGAUCUGUUGAUCUCACGAUGCUCGGGCUUCUCUUUUCUCUUCUCUUGUACCGGAUUCUACAUAUGAGCCAAAACGACAACGUUUGGGUCGUAGCUUUCUUGUGUGAAUCUUUUUUCACUUUCAUAUGGCUGCUUAUUACUUGCAUAAAAUGGACCCCUGCUGAGCAUAAACCGUAUCCGGAUCGACUUGAUGAAAGGUAUCAUAGUAUAUAUAUGCACAUAGAAAGCAUAUAUGCUUAUCAAUUUUUGUAUAAAGAUCUAGGCCUCUAGGUAGCUGCUACCAUGCUCUAAUUAAGUCUAUUUUUAUGAACUAACUUUUGAUUUCAGGGUUCAUGAGCUUCCAUCGGUAGAUAUGUUUGUAACCACGGCGGAUCCGGUUCGGGAGCCGCCGAUUCUUGUUGUAAACACUGUGCUUUCACUGCUAGCUGUGAAUUAUCCGGCGAAUAAAUUAGCAUGUUAUGUUUCAGACGAUGGAUGCUCACCUCUCACUUACUUCUCUCUCAAGGAAGCUUGUAACUUCGCCAAGAUUUGGGUUCCUUUCUGCAAAAAAUAUAACGUUAGAGUUAGAGCUCCUUUUAGAUAUUUUUUGAACUCUCUCGACGCAAAAGAGGAUUCAGAAUUCAGUAGGGAUUGGGAAAUGACGAAGGUCAGUAUUUGAUUAUAUUUUUAGGUCUUUGAGUUUGUUUCUACGUUUACAACAAAAUAAUUAUAUCAUCUUUACUUUAAAGUAAAACACAAGACCUUCCCCUUUUUUUUUUCUAAUUAUCAACAUUAAAACUGCAAGCAGAUGGAAAGUUUACAAAUUCCUUAAAUGAUGGUUAAAAAAAAAGAAGAAAUCAAUCUUUAUAGAAAAUAGAAGAAAAAUAAAAAUUAAUCAGUCAACAAGAAACAUAAUGUUCAAAAAAAAAAAAGAGAAAAAAGUUUUCUGAGAAAUUGCUCUUAGCUUUCCUGUUAUUAAUAAAUCUACAAAAUCUGAUGUUCUUAUUCUUUCUAAUUUAUGUAAUGAUAUGAUAUUCAAGAGGGAGUACGAGAAGUUAAGCGGGAAAGUGGAAGAUGCCACCAGAGAUUGGGACGCUGACGAUGAUUUUGAAGCUUUCUCAAACACAAAACCAAAUGAUCAUUCAACUAUAGUUAAGGUAUUUCAACAAUUAUAUUAUAAAAGAGUUAGUUAUAAAAAUAUUAUAGUUACCGUCACAUAUAUAAAAUCUGAAGGUGGUAUGGGAGAACAAAGGAGGUGUGGGAGAUGAAAAAGAGCUCCCUCAUUUUGUCUACGUUUCAAGAGAGAAAAGGCCAAACUAUUUACAUCAUUACAAAGCUGGAGCCAUGAACUUUCUGGUAAGUGAUUUCUCACAUAUCUCUUUUUUUUUUCAUUUAGUGUACUUUUUGGUACCUAAUUGUGUUAAAGUCCCAUGCUACCAUUACAAUAUUGGCUGAGAUACGAGAUCAAACAUUUGACCUCAUUAUUUUAAUUUUGCUAUAACAUGCUUGCAAAAUAAAUCAUGAGCGUUGAUAUAUAUAAUAUGUAUAUGUAUAUAUAUAUAUAUAUAUAUAUAUAUUUAUAUUUAUAUUUAAGGGAAGGUAAUAUAUAAAAUGACUAUAAGAAUCACAUGAUCGAGUCGUACUUCAGGACGAUAAGAAUCUCAUUAAGAAACAUUCUAGUCAAGUUACAAAAAAAAAAAACAUUCUAGUCACAAAAAAAGUAAGAUAAUGAGAUGAUCUUCUUCCCUACCCCUUAUAUAUUAUUUGAUUGGUGUCAUUAAUUUUAUAAUAUUAAAAUAAAUUAAACAAUCAGAUCGACCAAUAAAAAUUUAGAUUCUUCCUUAUAUGCUAUAUUUUUAAAUCUUCAAAACAAUUAUAAAUUAAUAAAACUGUUACAAAUUCCACAUUGAAAAUUUUGUGCUCAAAAGCUUUAAUUUUUUUUUAUAGCAAAAUACAGAUAGUCAUAAAUUAUAUUUGUAAGAAGUCUCAUUUAAUAAAUAUUUAGAUUAUAUAUAUUAAUAUCAUUUAAAUUUUAAUAUAUAUCAUAUAAAAAUACAUGAGUAGUUAAAAUUCAAAAAUUGCAUUGAAAAGUAGUGAAAAUUUAAUAUUUUAAUUUUACAAUUUAUAUUGAAAUUUAAAACCAAUUAUAAAUUAUUAAACUAUUAAAAUUUAUAUAUUAAUUUGUUUGUUAAUUACUUUAAAAAUAUUAAAUUAAUUUAAUUUUUUUUGUUAUAAAAUACAAAUUAUCACAAAACCCAUAUGAAUAGGAAACCUCAUUUAAUUGAUAAGUAUAUUAAAAUACAAUAAAUAUCUGUUGAUUUCUUUUAAAUUAAAUUAGAUAUCAUAUACAAUAGAUAAAAAUCAUUGUUUGGAUUUAUUUACAUAAAUAACAGCGAUUGUUUGAUUAAGGUGCUCUCACCAAUUUAAUUCUAUACAUAUUUAAUUAUAUACAUAAUAUUUAUCAGUUUCUCAAUUAUUUGAUAUAUAUAUAUAUAAUAAUUAUUCAAGACACGGAUCAUAAUCUAGUUAUAAUGUAUUUUUUGAGUGAGAUAAUUGAGCCCAACUAUUAUUUAUUUUUUUGAAUAAACAUUCAAUUUAUUGGAGGUGACAUUUUAAAACUAAUAAUUGUUGAAGUGAAAAGGUAACCAUGUAUUAUGUUCAAUUAAUAAUCAUGUAAUAACCAAUUAUAAUCAUGGUGGUCUUGCCUUUGAAAUUUAUAUUUAAACAUCAUAUCGUAUAUAUGACAUGCCAUACAAACUACAUUAGAUCAAUAAAAUUUGAAUGGAAGUCUAUAUAGUUUAAUUUUUUUGAAGCAUCAGUUUUUGCAACUAUAAAUGAUUGUAGGUCUUAAUUAGUUUUAUUUGUUUGUUAUAAUAAUUAAAAAUGUAAUGAUCGCAAGAUGAAUUUGAACAGGUCCGAGUGUCAGGGCUGAUGACAAACGCACCAUACAUGUUAAACGUAGACUGUGACAUGUUUGUGAAUGAAGCAGAUGUGGUGCGGCAAGCAAUGUGUAUAUUUUUUGCAAAAAUCAAAGAAUUCAAUAAAUCAUUGUGCUUUCGUUCAAUACCCUCAAGAUUUCUAUGAUUCUAACUGCGAGGAACUCGUCGUCUUACAAUCAGUGCGGUUUCUCAUCCUUACUUUUAUUUGUUUAUUUAUAUUAUCCAUAUAUAAAAUUCAUUAAUUUUUUCAAUCAAUGCUUAAUCGGUCUUUGGUUGCUACUAUUUUGUUUGUUUUCUUGUGGAAAUUAGCAUUUGUCACGAGGAUUUGCGGGAAUCCAAGGAUCAAUUUACUCAGGGUCGGGAUGUUUCCACACUAGAAGAGUUAUGUACGGUCUCUCAGUAGAUGAUUUAGAAGAAGAUGGGAGUCUUUCUUCAGUUAAUGCAAGUAAGUACUAUUGGCAAAAACCAUAAGAGAUACUAGGUAUAUCACACUGUCAUAUACUAUAAUUUCGUUAAAAUAUUAUUUUAACAAAGUUUCAUGCAUAUAUCACUAUUAUAUUCACCUUUUUAUUCUAUCAUACAAGAUUUGCACAAUAGUUUUGUUGUUCUACUAGUCUAUUAUAAUCAUGGAAAAUUAGGUCUACUAACCAAAAAAGCACAAAUUCACUAACUACCCAAAAACCACCCCCUCUCUCCUACUCUCUCUUCUAUCUUUCCUUACCCUCUCUUUACAAAUCUAAUUUCCAUUUUUUGGUUAUUUGGUAAAUAAGCCCUAUAAAUUAUUCAUUUAUCAAAUCAUUUACUGCUCAUCUUAUUUCAUCAAGGGAAAUUUUUGGAUGAAGAAAGUUUGGCGAGAAAAUUUGGGAGUUCAAAGGAGAUAAGGAAAUCGGUGGCCAAUGCAUUGCAAAGAAAAUCAAAUUCUCAAAAUAUUCUUACGAACUUUCUUGACGAGGCCAGAGAAGUAGGGCAUUGUCAAUAUGAGUCCCAAAAGAGUUGGGGGAAAACCGUAACACUCUUCUCACCUUAAUCAUAAUAGUCUAUAAUAAAACACAAAUAUUUAUAUUGUUAUUAUAUAUAUAUCAUGUAGAUCGGGUGGUUGUACGAUUCAACAGCGGAAGAUGUGAACACGAGUAUAGAUAUCCAUUCGAGAGGAUGGACUAGUUCAUAUAUAUAUCCGGAUGAACCCGCAUUUCUAGGUUGUAUGCCACCAGGAGGACCAGAGGCGAUGGUUCAGCAACGGCGAUGGGGGACGGGCAUGCUCGAAGUCCUUUUCAACAAACAUAGUCCUUUGAUUGGUAUCUUUAGCCAGAAAUUGAGAUUUCGACAACGAUUGGCUUAUAUACACAUCUUCACUUGGGGUUUAAGGUCAAUCCCUGAGCUCGCUUAUUGUCUCUUGCCUGCUUAUUGUUUACUCCACAACUCGGCCUUGUUUCCGAAGGUGACUUUUCUCUCUCUCACUUUAAUAUACUGUUUGUUGUUUAAUUUUUUUUGCACACAAAUAAAUUUAUUUUAUGUUUUAUUUCUAUUUGAUAUACAUUAUUUUGUUUGAUUUUGCUAAUUAAUAAACAACAAAUAAGAGAAGAAUUAGAUAAUUGAUUUAAUAUUUCAUUAAAAAUGUAAAAAGGCAUUUAUCAUGAAACGAUGGUAGGAUCAUAAUUUCGUUAUUAGUGUGGUUCUAUUUUUAUAUCAUACUAAUAAUUAGAAAUGUCCUUGUUCUGUGUUGCUUUAGGGACUUUGUUCAGGCAUAACUGUCACACUUGUGAGUAUGCAUUGCGUUUACACUCUAUGGGAAUUUAUGAGCCUUGGUUUUUCGGUACAUUCAUGGUAUGUCUCCCAGUCAUUUUGGAGAAUAAAAGCUACUUGUAUUUGGUUAUUUAGUAUCAUUGAUAUCAUAUUCAAGCUUCUUGGAGUUUCGAGAACCGUGUUCAUAGUUACAAAAAAGACUUUCACCGAGACAAGAUCAGGGACUGGGGAUGGACCAUCUUGUAGUGCGGACCCAAAUGCUGGUAAAUUUGAAUUCGACGACUCAGUUUAUUUUUUGCCUGGCACGUUCAUUGUGUUGGUCAAUCUAGCCGCUAUAGCCGGGUUUUCAGUGGGUCUACAACCAUUAACUCAUAUCUACGGAGGAGGUGGUUCGACUUUUGUAGAGGCUUGUGCAUGUAUUUUGGUGGUUAUGUUGUUUCUUCCAUUUCUAAAGGGUUUAUUUGAGAAGGGAAAAUAUGGUAUCCCAUUGUCUACGCUCUCUAAAGCUGCCUUUUUAGCAGUGUUAUUUGUUGUUUUUUCUGUAGGAAAGUAGUCUAUAUAGCGAUGUGGGCUUGCUAUGAAACAAAACUAAGACCAUCCGCAAUAGUGAGACUCAUUGGAGUCCUUAGCACAAGGGCAUUUCAGAUUAAUCUUGGAUAUUUUGGAUUUUAAAAAAAAAAAAAUGACUAUUCACGGACCGCCGUACGUAGUCAAUGGAACCCGUGAACAGUGUAAGGAUCAAUCCUUAUCAAAGGAUUUUAAGGAUUCUUUUUUGCACAAACUCUAAGAAAGUGGGUUCCACACCCUCUAAAGAUUCCCUUAAGAGUUUCCAUUGUGGAUGCUCCAAGGUUAUCAUUACAUUGUCCCAAUGAAGAAUUAAUGAUACUUUAUGCACUUAGUUUUUAUUAUUAUAUAGUCAUAUAAAAUAAUAGCUCCACCAACUUGAAGAACAAGGUUCGUCACGUGAGCAUGGAACAUGCUGAGAUGUAUAUGAAUCGAUAGAACCACGUUAGCACUGGCGCAUUUCAAGGACUUAGCGGUAAAACCUCGGAAUUGAUCAGUACACCCGUUUUCGUUACUUAUAAGUUUAUUAUUAAUUAGUUUGCAGUGCUAACUAUGUAAACAUACAUUACUUAACGCUAACAUCUCCAAACCAUCUACGCUUUCUUAGAAGUCAAACACCUCACGUGCUUAUAUUUUAAUCAGUAGCAUUUUCGCCUCGGACAUCAAGAUCAUACAUUAAAGUAUUUGGCUAAAUAUUAUUAUACUAAUAUAGAUUCAUGUUCCUUAAUUUCAUAUUAAUGAUAUAAUAUUCACAUAGGCAAAAACAAAUCAUAUCACAUAGCUUGAUUUUGCUUUAUGUUAAUAUACACAUUUAUUGCUUAAUUACGGUCCACGUAUUGACGUAUAAUAACAUCACGUUGAUGAAUAUAAUACUUUGAUAGGAUACUAGAUAGUAGAUACUAGUAGAAUUAUAUAGUAAUAGUAUAUAUAGACGUGACGCAUUUAAACUAUUCAGAACAUAUACAAAAAAAAAACCUUAAUAAAGCUUCUCCUAUGGCGGAUUCAAGCUCUUCACGUCCUCCUCUUUGCGAAAGGAUCUCACACAAAAGCUAUUUUCUAAGAGCUGUGGAUCUCACGAUUCUCGGCCUUCUCUUUUCUCUUCUCUUGUACCGGAUUCAACGUGUGAACGAAAACGAAACCGUUUGGGUCGUGGCUUUACUCUGUGAAUCUUGUUUCUUAUUUAUAUGGCUACUUAUUACGUGCAUUAAAUGGAGUCCUGCUGAAUAUAAACCUCAUCUACAUAGACUUGACAAAAGGUACCCUUUUCUGGUUAGUGAUUUUGCUGGUUAAGUAAACAAUAAAAUUUAAAAAUCAACAUAAUUUUAUUUUUAAUAUAUUUAAAUUUUAAAACUUUUAUUUAUAUACAUGGUACAUGAAAACUCUUAGUUUUAUGUAUAGCUCUAGCUAACUGGUACACCAUGGUCUUUUCGGUUGUGAAGUUAAUACUCCAAACUUUUUAUGAAUUUACCUCGUAAUUAUCAUUUCAGACUUCAUGACUUUCCAUCGGUAGAUAUGUUCGUAACCACAGCGGAUCCGGUUCGGGAGCCGCCGAUUCUUGUUGUGAACACCGUGCUUUCGCUGCUAGCUGUGAAUUAUCCGGCGAAUAAACUAGCAUGUUAUGUUUCAGACGAUGGAUGCUCACCUCUCACUUACUUCUCUCUCAAGGAAGCUUCUAAGUUCGCCAAAAUUUGGGUUC
rnacentral:lncRNA from 1 species